rnacentral:rRNA from 1 species
ACGGAAGGCAGCAGUGGGGAAUAUUGGACAAUGGGGGAAACCCUGAUCCAGCGACGCCGCGUGAGUGAAGAAGUAUUUCGGUAUGUAAAGCUCUAUCAGCAGGGAAGAUAAUGACGGUACCUGAAUAAGAAGCCCCGGCUAACUACGUGCCAGCAGCCGCGGUAAUACGUAGGGGGCAAGCGUUAUCCGGAUUUACUGGGUGUAAAGGGAGCGUAGACGGCAAGGCAAGUCUGAUGUGAAAACCCGGGGCUCAACCUCGGGACUGCGUUGGAAACUGUCUGGCUAGAGUGCAGGAGAGGUGAGUGGAAUUCCUAGUGUAGCGGUGAAAUGCGUAGAUAUUAGGAGGAACACCGGUGGCGAAGGCGGCUUACUGGACUGUAACUGACGUUGAGGCUCGAAAGCGUGGGUAGCAAACAGGAUUAGAUACCCUGGUA